GAAUGCUGACAUAAGUAACGAUAAAGCGGGUGAAAAGCCCGCUCGCCGGAAGACCAAGGGUUCCUGUCCAACGUUAAUCGGGGCAGGGUGAGUCGACCCCUAAGGCGAGGCCGAAAGGCGUAGUCGAUGGGAAACGGGUUAAUAUUCCCGUACUUGGUGUUACUGCGAAGGGGGGACGGAGAAGGCUAUGUUGGCCGGGCGACGGUUGUCCCGGUUUAAGCGUGUAGGUGUGUGUUCCAGGUAAAUCCGGUUCACUUUAACACUGAGGCGUGACGACGAGGCACUACGGUGCUGAAGCAACAAAUGCCCUGCUUCCAGGAAAAGCCUCUAAGCAUCAGGUAACAUCAAAUCGUACCCCAAACCGACACAGGUGGUCAGGUAGAGA
rnacentral:rRNA from 1 species